UGGGGAAUUUUGGACAAUGGGCGCAAGCCUGAUCCAGCCAUGCCGCGUGAGUGAAGAAGGCCUUCGGGUUGUAAAGCUCUUUCGGUGGGAACGAAACGGACGCGGCGAAUAGCUGCGUUUAAUGACGGUACUCACAGAAGAAGCACCGGCUAACUACGUGCCAGCAGCCGCGGUAAUACGUAGGGUGCAGGCGUUAAUCGGAAUUACUGGGCGUAAAGGGUGCGCAGGCGGCGGCUCAAGUCAGGUGUGAAAGCCCCGGGCUUAACCUGGGAUGUGCGCUUGAAACUAGGUCGCUAGAGUGUGUCAGAGGGGGGUGGAAUUCCACGUGUAGCAGUGAAAUGCGUAGAGAUGUGGAGGAACACCGAUGGCGAAGGCAGCCCCCUGGGAUAACACUGACGCUCGGGCACGAAAGCGUGGGGAGCAAACAGGAUUAGAUACCCCCGUAGUCC
rnacentral:rRNA from 1 species